rnacentral:rRNA from 1 species
AUUGAACGCUGGCGGCAGGCUUAACACAUGCAAGUCGAGCGGUAACAGAGAGAAGCUUGCUUCUCUGCUGACGAGCGGCGGACGGGUGAGUAAUGCCUAGGAAUCUGCCUAGUAGUGGGGGAUAACUUGCCGAAAGGUAAGCUAAUACCGCAUACGUCCUACGGGAGAAGGGAGGGGACCUUCGGGCCUUUCGCUAUUAGAUGAGCCUAGGUCGGAUUAGUUAGUUGGUGAGGUAAUGGCUCACCAAGACCGCGAUCCGUAACUGGUCUGAGAGGAUGAUCAGUCACACUGGAACUGCGACACGGUCCAGACUCCUACGGGAGGCAGCAGUGGGGAAUAUUGGACAAUGGGGGGAACCCUGAUCCAGCCAUGCCGCGUGUGUGAAGAAGGUCUUAGGAUUGUAAAGCACUUUAAGUUGGGAGGAAGAGCAGUUAACUAAUAUUUGACUGUUUUGACGUUACCGACAGAAUAAGCACCGGCUAACUUCGUGCCAGCCGCCGCUGUAA